AACGCACGAGACCUGCGGACCUGCGGAGGGAUCAUUAACAAAUCCAAUAAUUGCAGGAGAACACUUGUUCUUUUUGCAAAUAUUAAUCCGCUGGCCGCUAUUUAUAGCAGCUGGCCGUGAUAUAAAUGCGUGUUAUGUUGACAGUGUGUGUAUAAAUUAAUAUUGACAACUUUCAACAACGGAUCUCU
rnacentral:misc_RNA from 1 species